AUACGAAGGGGGCUAGCGUUGUUCGGAAUAACUGGGCGUAAAGCGCACGUAGGCGGAAUGUUAAGUUAGAGGUGAAAUCCCAGGGCUCAACCCUGGAACUGCCUUUAAUACUGGCAAUCUCGAGAUCGAGAGAGGUGAGUGGAAUUCCGAGUGUAGAGGUGAAAUUCGUAGAUAUUCGGAGGAACACCAGUGGCGAAGGCGGCUCACUGGCUCGAUACUGACGCUGAGGUGCGAAAGCGUGGGGAGCAAACAGGAUUAGAUACCCCGGUAGUCC
rnacentral:rRNA from 1 species